AAACAAAAACAAUUUGCAUGGGCUUCGUUUUUUGAAGUCCGAAACAAAGUAGAAGACGCAAUUAAAAUAGAUUCUCGAAGGUUCGACUCCAUAUUUUCGGAGCAGCGGUUUUCGGUUUCGUCUUGCUUCUUCUUAUUCCCUUUGCAUUACAAGUUGAAGUGUUCUCCACUGCAGAAGUGUCGUGUGUUAAAAAUGUUAAGAAAUCAAAUAAUUCAAUAAUUACGUUCCGGGCCAUAUUGGAAUAUAAAAAAAGACUGCAGUAAUGGCCAAUAUAUUGGAUGCAAUUUCCCAAGUGACUAAAACUGAGCCUCCAGAGAAGAUACUGCGCAAUAAAUUUGGUCUUCAUGAAUAGAAAGCGGAACACCAAGGAUCAAAAAGACCUUAAGGCCUUUUAAUAUAUGGAUGUUUAAUCUUAAUUUUUAAUAUUUGUGUUUUAGUUUUGGU